UGGGGAAUAUUGCACAAUGGGCGCAAGCCUGAUGCAGCCAUGCCGCGUGUGUGAAGAAGGCCUUCGGGUUGUAAAGCACUUUCAGCGGGGAGGAAGGCGGUGAGGUUAAUAACCUCAUCGAUUGACGUUACCCGCAGAAGAAGCACCGGCUAACUCCGUGCCAGCAGCCGCGGUAAUACGGAGGGUGCAAGCGUUAAUCGGAAUUACUGGGCGUAAAGCGCACGCAGGCGGUCUGUCAAGUCGGAUGUGAAAUCCCCGGGCUCAACCUGGGAACUGCAUUCGAAACUGGCAGGCUAGACUCUUGUAGAGGGGGGUAGAAUUCCAGGUGUAGCGGUGAAAUGCGUAGAGAUCUGGAGGAAUACCGGUGGCGAAGGCGGCCCCCUGGACAAAGACUGACGCUCAGGUGCGAAAGCGUGGGGAGCAAACAGG
rnacentral:rRNA from 1 species